GCGGGGGUGUCCCAGCCGGUCAAAGGAGCAUGACUGAGGCUCAUGUGGCGUAGGCCUUCGCGCGUUCGAAUCGCGUCCCCCGCACCA
rnacentral:tRNA from 1 species